rnacentral:misc_RNA from 1 species
UUUCCGUAGGUGAACCUGCGGAAGGAUCAUUAACACGUUAUCCACGUCAACCUUCGUGCACUCAUUUUGUUUUUGGGGCGGUCGUUUUCGGAUGGCCGUCCCGCCAUUGGUUCCUUGCCCUUCCUUUUUACGAAGGAAAGACGGUCCAGUGGCAUAACUUUAACAUUUUUAACAUCAUUGUACUAAUUCAAAAAUUGUGAUUGUCUCUGUUCGAAAGAACAUGGCGGUCCUUUUUUUCUCUACAAAACAAUCGAACAACUUUCAACAACGGAUCUCUUGGUUCUG